GACUGAUGGUCGUCUCAGGUUAGCACUUUAUACUGUGAAACUGCGAAUGGCUCAUUAAAUCAGUUAUCGUUUAUUUGAUAGUACCUUACUACAUGGAUACCUGUGGUAAUUCUAGAGCUAAUACAUGCUGAAAACCUCGACUUCGGAAGGGGUGUAUUUAUUAGAUAAAAAACCAAUGCCCUUCGGGGCUCCUUGGUGAAUCAUAAUAACUUAACGAAUCGCAUGGCCUUGCGCCGGCGAUGGUUCAUUCAAAUUUCUGCCCUAUCAACUUUCGAUGGUAGGAUAGUGGCCUACCAUGGUGGCAACGGGUAACGGGGAAUUAGGGUUCGAUUCCGGAGAGGGAGCCUGAAAAACGGCUACCACAUCCAAGGAAGGCAGCAGGCGCGCAAAUUACCCAAUCCCGACACGGGGAGGUAGUGACAAUAAAUACUGAUACGGGGCUCUUUUGGGUCUCGAAAUUGGAAUGAGUACAAUCUAAAUCCCUUAAAGAGAAACAAUUGGAGGGCAAUUCUGGUGUCAUCAGGCGCGGUAAAUUCUGCUCCGGUAGAGUAUAUUAAAGCUGCUGCAUCUAAACAGGUCGUAGCCCUUCCUUGGGUUUCGCUAGGCUGCACCCCUCCCACCGAGUACCGCCCAGAAUGGAAAACUUUUCUGGGUCGUAUCGUGCCGAUCGGUUCAUGUGGGAGGAACGUCCGAUUCCUAUGUGGAAAAUUUAUGGGUUAAGAACUACGACGGUGCUGAUCGUCUUCGAUCGCCUAAAUAUCAUUCGCAUGAGUAGUGAAACAUCCUUGGGCUGCAUGCUUUCGCAGUAUGUAUUCUUCAGCAAGUCCGAGGACUGUCACCUUCUGACUGUGAAUACUGACGCCCCGACUUAUGCCGUAUAAUCAUACGGCGAGUGCUAAAACCAGCAAGAAUACACUCCUCACGCCAUUUAAUAUUAUUGCCAUGCGAAGAGGAUCAAAAAAAAGGCCGUGCUCUA
rnacentral:rRNA from 1 species